rnacentral:rRNA from 1 species
GGGAGGCAGCAGUAGGGAAUCUUCCGCAAUGGGCGAAAGCCUGACGGAGCAACGCCGCGUGAGUGAUGAAGGUCUUCGGAUCGUAAAACUCUGUUAUUAGGGAAGAACAAACGUGUAAGUAACUGUGCACGUCUUGACGGUACCUAAUCAGAAAGCCACGGCUAACUACGUGCCAGCAGCCGCGGUAAUACGUAGGUGGCAAGCGUUAUCCGGAAUUAUUGGGCGUAAAGCGCGCGUAGGCGGUUUUUUAAGUCUGAUGUGAAAGCCCACGGCUCAACCGUGGAGGGUCAUUGGAAACUGGAAAACUUGAGUGCAGAAGAGGAAAGUGGAAUUCCAUGUGUAGCGGUGAAAUGCGCAGAGAUAUGGAGGAACACCAGUGGCGAAGGCGACUUUCUGGUCUGUAACUGACGCUGAUGUGCGAAAGCGUGGGGAUCAAACAGGAUUAGAUACCCUGGUAGUCCACGCCGUAAACGAUGAGUGCUAAGUGUUAGGGGGUUUCCGCCC